UAGGGAAUCUUCCACAAUGGACGCAAGUCUGAUGGAGCAACGCCGCGUGAGUGAAGAAGGCUUUCGGGUCGUAAAACUCUGUUAUUGAAGAAGAACGUGUGUGACAGUAACUGGUCAUGCAGUGACGGUAUUCAAUCAGAAAGUCACGGCUAACUACGUGCCAGCAGCCGCGGUAAUACGUAGGUGGCAAGCGUUGUCCGGAUUUAUUGGGCGUAAAGCGAGUGCAGGCGGUCUUUUAAGUCUGAUGUGAAAGCCUUCGGCUUAACCGAAGAAGGGCAUCGGAAACUGGGAGACUUGAGUGCAGAAGAGGAGAGUGGAACUCCAUGUGUAGCGGUGAAAUGCGUAGAUAUAUGGAAGAACACCAGUGGCGAAGGCGGCUCUCUGGUCUGUAACUGACGCUGAGGCUCGAAAGCGUGG
rnacentral:rRNA from 1 species